rnacentral:misc_RNA from 1 species
CUGCCCUUGGACUUGGCCUGCCGCAU